AUUUUGUGAAAGCGGGCUCUGUUUUAAUGCUCCUCCAUUCAAUGUCUGUCAACCCUCUCUGGACAAGGGUCCUGGUUGGUUGCCUUGGAAACGAGCAUAUGACUAUUCUGAGAGUGAGAGACGAAGCGAGUGUAGUAAAGUUUUCCAUGUUCCUGGAUUCUCACUGUGGUUCCUGCAUCAAGCUCAGUCACACCUGCACAAAGUCACGAGACGUGGACAAUGAUAUGGCACAGCUUGUCCCGUGUCAAGCCAAUUAGUCGAUCUCAUUAACCAACGCUGUCAACCAGAAGACUGCGGUUUGAGUCCUGUUUGUGAGCUCUGUUUUUUGCACUCUCUGUUUUC
ensembl:lncRNA